AUGUUUUGGUUUGCCCCAAUCUUACAUUUUUGCUACCAUCGUUUUUCUGAUUUGCUGGAACCAGCAGAAAUUUUUGCUACCAUCUGCGUUUUGGUUUUGCUGGUACUGAGGUCAAAUUUUUGCAAUUUGCUACAACCGGUGUUUUGGUUUGCUGGAACCAGCUCCAAAUUUUGCUACAACUGCCGCUUUUUGCUUUGCUGGAAAGAACGCCCAAUUUUGCAUUUUUGCUACAAAUGUCGUUUUGGUUUGCUGGAAGCAGCUUCAGUUUUUGCUACCAAUGUUGUUUUGAUUUUUGCUAGAACAUCGCCCAGUUUUGCAUUUUUGCUACCACUGUAUUUGCUUUUGCUGGAACCAACACAAAAAUUUGCUACUACCGUUGUUGACUGCGAGCCAUGCCAUCGUCGCCAUUGA
rnacentral:rRNA from 1 species